ACUUUUGACGGUGGAUCUCUUGGCUCACGCAUCGAUGAAGAACGUAGCCAGCUGCGAUAAGUAGUGUGAAUUGCAGAAUUCAGUGAAUCAUCGAAUCUUUGAACGCAAAUGGCGCUCUUGGGUUCUCCCAGGAGCAUGUCUGUCUGAGUGUCGGAUAU
rnacentral:rRNA from 1 species